rnacentral:rRNA from 2 species
UGGGGAAUUUUGCGCAAUGGGCGAAAGCCUGACGCAGCAACGCCGCGUGGAGGAUGAAGGCCUUCGGGUCGUAAACUCCUGUCGACGGGGACGAAGUCCGAAAGGGUUGACUGUACCCGUUGAGGAAGCCACGGCUAACUCCGUGCCAGCAGCCGCGGUAAUACGGAGGUGGCAAGCGUUGUUCGGAAUUACUGGGCGUAAAGGGCGCGUAGGCGGCAUGACAAGUCAGAUGUGAAAGCCCCGGGCUUAACUCGGGAAUUGCAUCUGAAACUGUUUUGCUUGAGUCCUGGAGGGGGUAGUGGAAUUCCCAGUGUAGCGGUGAAAUGCGUAGAUAUUGGGAGGAACACCUGCGGCGAAGGCGGCUACCUGGACAGUGACUGACGCUGAGGCGCGAAAGCUAGGGGAGCGAACGGG